CAGUUACAUCUCUGGAAGGAUACAAAUCACAUUAUCUGUUGUGUCCAGAAAUACACUAAACUUUUGUUACAUAACAGAAAUUCCUACAUUUUUAUUUGUAAAACCCAAAACCUUACUUUGUUUCAUCCAAACUUAAUGUCUUUUUCUUUAAUGUGUAUCAACCAUUUCUAUAUAUUCAUGACUUUUUUUCUGCUCUGCUCACUUUCAUUUUUUUUGCUCACUUUCAAAUUCUUUGAGUAUCUGUACACUAUUCACAGAACCCCAAUCUCAAGAAUUUGAGUGAUUUGUCUUCCUUCUAACUUAACCUUUUAUAGCCCAAUCAUAUCUUAAGUAUUUGAAAAGGUUCCAGAAAAUAAAAUCUCAAAAGGUUAUGAUUUAAAGUAAUGAAAAUUUUCUUUGCAUAUGAUACUUCAUUCCUGUUAAAUCCCCUAAAAAUAGUUUGCUGUUUUCUGUCAACUGUAUUUUGCCUGAAAGGGAGGAAGUAAUUACUAAGAACAGGAUUAGGCUGGUUUGGGAAAUACUUUCAUGGCACCCUGUAAGCAUUUUAGUCGACUUUGAAACUAUGGCUAAAACAAAGUAAUUUUAUUUCCCUUCCUGAUUUUGUAGCUUUCUUGCUCCCUGAGAAUUAUAACAUAGUGACUUGGUGUUGCUUGCAAGAAUAUUGGAUUUCACUGGGUGCCAGAUCAUACCGUCUUUUUAAAUCAUGUUCCUUUCAUAGAUAAUUUGCCCCACUGUAAAAUCAUUAAGGAUAUUCAUUAAGUAUGCCACUCUUUUGUAGAGGAUCAAUAUAUCUAAAAUAAAAGGCACAGUUGUUUGCAUUUAGUUUCAGUCAUGUUUUCUUUUAGGCUUUCAGUAUUUUGUUUUUAAUACGCCAGAGUAGCUCCUCAUGUAAUGAGAUGGCACCUUGUGUAAUGAGCUACUGUUUAUUGUUAUUCCUGGCAACAGACCAUACGAGGGCAAGGCCUGUUAAAUACAAGUGCGCACCGGAGAUGCUCUUUCAACCUGCAGUGAGGGCCUGUAUGAGCAGAGGAAGGACAAUAUUUUUCCUUCUGUUUAGUCUCCAGGCAGAUUACAGAUGUCUCCAGCCUUUCUGUCUAGAGGCCUGGAUCUGCUAUGCUUGAUACACUUUUACUUACAUCUUGACACAGUAUCCAGAAGAAAAGAGAAAAGUGUCCAGACCACAGAGUUAAUCAGUGAUCCAUAAGGAAGGAUAAUCAAUACUAGGCAAGUAGAGGGAGGUAUCCAUUUUUCUCCUCCUCAGUAUUCUAAAUCCUGCUUCGCUAUUUAAAUCAGCCACUAUUCUAGAAGAGAACUAGGCUGGACACCGAAUGCCUGUGUAAUAAUUAGAAAUCAAUUCUCUUAACUGGACAUCUUUUUACUUAAAUUUGCUUAAAUUUACUUAAAUCAACCAGCCUUUUCCUUCCCUUCCUUCCUCCUUUCCUUCCUUCCUUGGCAUCACCUUUUAUUCUUCUCUCUUUAUUCUGCACCGCUCUUUCCACAUUGUUAUUUCAUGCAGGUCCCAUAGGCAGUUAAAUAUGUUGUCCCUUUAAGAAUUGUUGUUUAGUAGAUGUAACAAACGCAUAUAGUUUUCAGCUUCCUUUGGAAAUAAGUGCUGGUACUUUUGCAGGCUUUCCUUUUGUGAUUAGAAAAAUACCAAUACCAUUUUCCUGCAAAUAUAUAUUAGCAUCCCUAUGAGAAAAUUAACAUUCUUAUUGCAUUGAAUUUGUUACUUCUCUGAAUGAAUAGGAGAAUAGCUAAUGCUAAUGCAGUUUAAAACUGAAAUGAAAUGUAAAUAGAAUUGGAG
ensembl:lncRNA